AAAGUAUUUUUUACAGACAUUACAGCUUUUAAAGAAAAAGCUCUUUAGUUAACUGUGUAUGGAAAUGAAAAAUAUUAAUAACAUUAGUAUAACAGACCUCUAAAUAUUAAUACAUUGGCAAAAUAAAAUGGACUUAAAAUGCAAAUGAAUCUUAAUGCUCCGCUAUUCUCUGUAAGAAUAUUUACUUUCUGUUUUUCUUAUUCUUUACAGGUGAGAAUGACAAUACAACUUUGUGUAUUGUCUGGACCCCAAUUUAUAAUGGAUCCUUCUGGCUGGAUUUAGGAUAGUGACCCUACUUCAACCAUAUAAGCAAGGUUAUAAUCCUAGGAAUUUGCAAACAGAAGGAGCCACACAGAAGGAACCUACAUCCCUGGAUGACACUGAAGACAAGAGGCAUUUACCUGCCUACUCCAUGGACUGUAAAGUGGAAAAAAUGACCUAUAGUUUUUGAGCCAUUCCAUUUAUGUUUUUGUCUUUAUUUUGUUUGCAGCAACUUACUUGGAUCCAGAAAAUAUGGAGUUUACAAAGAAGAAGGGAGAGGAGGGGAAGGAUGAAAAGGAGAAGACCAUGAUACGAAUUUUUGAUAAUCCUACCACCGGGGAAACAAUUGUUAACAUUUGACUCAUUACAUUUCCG
rnacentral:lncRNA from 10 species